UACGUAGGUGGCAAGCGUUACUCGGAAUCACUAGGCGUAAAGCGCAGGUAGGAGGUUUGGUAAGUCUGUUGUGAAAGCUCCCGGCUUAACUGGGAGAGGUCAACGGAAACUGCCAGGCUUGAGUGUGGUAGAGGUAGCUGGAAUUCCCGGUGUAGCGGUGAAAUGCGUAGAUAUCGGGAGGAAUACCUAUGGCGAAAGCAGGCUACUGGACCAUCACUGACUCUGAUCUGCGAAAGCUAGGGGAGCAAACAGG
rnacentral:rRNA from 1 species